CAGGUUUAUAUGUUUUGAUCACACUAGCUCGAAAAAUACCUUAUUUCAUGCAGGUGUACUGAAGGACAAAGGCCUAUAUUGUUCCCACGGGAGUUAUGGAUUGUAAAAAAAAGCUAUAACUCCCUAGGGAGAUAUAGCUUUUUUUUAUUGUGUCACUAAUUCAUACGAACCAUGUAGGUUAUAAGAGUUUUACUUUUAAAAUACUGACGUUUAUUAUUUAAUAUUUUUGUUUAUGAUUAAAAAUAUUUAAUUUGAUUAAUUUAAUAGCCGUUUAAAAUAUUUUUACACAAUUUUCAAUUGUGGCUGAAUUUCGAUGGGUCUGUGCCUUCGAUGCCUACACUACCAAAAAAUUUCAAUAUGGCGGGCGAAUGUUUGAAAUGUCACCGUAUUUGAAUGAUUUCGCUUAAAAUUUAGUUUUUUCUUCGCAAGUGUGAUGAAAAACAUUGUGUGUAACUCCGGGGGUAAUGU